ensembl:lncRNA
CCGGAAGACGUUGCAUGAAGUCACGGUAGGGAGACAACAGACGUAGCCCUUCGAGACCCAUUGAGAGUAAAGGGUACUAGAGAGAUAAGAGAUAGAUAAGUAAGAGAUAAAUGCAUAAAUACAUAUAUAGAUAGCCUAGAUAGAUAGAUGGAUAGACAUAUAGAUAGACAGCAUAGAUAUUGACCGAUAUAGAUAUAGACCGAGAGAUAGGGAGACAGACAGACAGAUAGCAUAGCAUAGCAUAGCAUAGCGAGUUAGGUAGGUGGGUAAGUAGGUGUAGAUUUAGAAUGGUGUACAACUGUGUUUGUGCUGGGUGUAAUAACUCUAGCAAAACAGGACACAGGGUCCAUGCCUUUCCGAAGGACAAGGCAACCCUCAGACAGUGGGUACAGUUUGUCCGCGUUAGACGGGCAGAUUUUUCUAUUCCCUCGGUCACAAAGAACUCCAAGGUCUGCAGCGCUCAUUUCACGGAGGAGGAUUACGAGGGGAUGUCAGGAUGGUAUCUCUCGGGUUAAAUAGGCUGGCACAGCUUAUUCCGAACGCCGUGCCUUCUGUGCACACGCAUCUCUCUGCCUGCCCUGCCCCGAGACCGAGAGGCACCAAGAUCAGUGCCGCCAGCCGCAAGCGAGAGCUGGCUAUGGUAAGCCUCAUGCUAAUGUUUACAAGCUGUGCGUUAGCUAGCCCUGUGUGUACUAUAUACCGUAUUCCCUUUGACCCCGCCUCCACUACAGUCAUGACUCAUGAUCAGUCUGACAUUAGAAAAGCACAUUUCGUGAUUCAUGAAUAUGAACCAAAACAAAAUUGUCCUGAAGUAAAUGUCCAAAAGCUUGUCAUAUAGAAAGCGCCAUGGCUAGUGUUUGGAUCACUGGCGCUCAUCAAGCGGCUUUCACAUUGCCCUUUUCCUGAUGGAAAGUGACUAUUACGGUCCUCUUUCAUAUGUAUUUAGACCUGACCGUGUCGCUAAUCUAUUUACGCAAGAUGUUGACAGAUGCCUCACCGUGUGAGACCACGGACAGUGUCAAUGCUGCUACGGUAGAGGACCCCUUGCCCUAAUACACUUGUGACACUGGGACACAGAGUAUUUUGAAGCCCCUUGGAAGGUCUCACGGUAAAUCUUUAUUUCAUACUCUGGGGAUCUCAUAACAUUCUUUUUACUGUAAAUAUGUUUGCUAUAAUUCAUAUGCAGGACAAUUUCACGUGUUUCCACUGGAGAAAAAAAUCGGUCUAUUUGUAUGUCUGCUGUGUGUGUGCCUACCUAUCUUGGUCUCUUGCAGGCUCAAUGGCAGCAGUAAAACUGGAGGGUAUCAUCACAAGGACAUCCUUACUGAAGGAUGUUCGACAGCUGUCUCCGCAGCACCAGACUUACUCCUCUGAAGCCUUCCACUCCCUGAUCCUGCACUUCGCGCCCAAGCACACUGGGUUUCCAUACCAUGGCAUGUAUAGCAGGUUAUGCAACGUCAUUAAUCGAGGCCCUUCGGGAGAGCUACAUCGAUUCACCCAAGGCUCUUCAAGAGACAGGUCCAAUCAUUUAGUUGACGUCGACGUCAGAGGUCACGGAAGGAACGCAGGUCGUGAUCAAUGAGAUCGCGUAUGGGUGUCAAGACGGAAUUCAUGGCUGGUUCCCAAAUAGACGGUGUAGUAAAAGGUAACUAAAAAAAGUCGGCAUUACAAUUAAAAUAGUCGAGAACUUUUAGAGGUCGUGAUAGGUGUGUAAGUCUCGUCUCAACAGGUCGCGGUCUGGGAGUGACGGUGUCGGGAUGA